AGCGAGGGUCUUCGGACCCUAGCGGCGGACGGGUGAGUAACACGUAGGCAACCUGCCUCUCAAACUGGGAUAACAUAGGGAAACUUAUGCUAAUACCGGAUAGGUUUUUGGAUCGCAUGAUCCGAAAAAAAAAGAUGGCUUCGGCUAUCACUGGGAGAUGGGCCUGCGGCGCAUUACCUAGUUGGGGGGGUAACGGCCUACCAAGGCGACGAUGCGUAGCCAACCUGAGAGGGUGACCGGCCACACUGGGACUGAAACACGGCCCAAACUCCUACGGGAGGCAGCAGUAGGGAAUUUUCCACAAUGGACAAAAGUCUGAUGGAGCAACGCCGCGUGAACGAUGAAGGUCUUCGGAUUGUAAAGUUCUGUUGUUAGGGACAAAUAAGUACCGUUCGAAUAGGGCGGUACCUUGACGGUACCUGACAAGAAAGCCACGGCUAACUACGUGCCAGCAGCCGCGGUAAUACGUAGGUGGCAAGCGUUGUCCGGAUUUAUUGGGCGUAAAGCGCGCGCAGGCGGCUAUGUAAGUCUGGUGUUAAAGCCCGGAGCUCAACUCCGGUUCGCAUCGAAAACUGUGUAGCUUGAGUGCAGAAGAGGAAAGCGGUAUUCCACGUGUAGCGGUGAAAUGCGUAGAGAUGUGGAGAAACACCAGUGGCGAAGGCGGCUUUCUGGUCUGUAACUGACGCUGAGGCGCGAAAGCGUGGAGGAGCAAACAGGAUU
rnacentral:rRNA from 1 species